AGGGUUUGAUCCUGGCUCAGGACGAACGCUGGCGGCGUGCUUAACACAUGCAAGUCGAACGGAGCACCCUUGACUGAGGUUUCGGCCAAAUGAUAGGAAUGCUUAGUGGCGGACGGGUGAGUAACGCGUGAGGAACCUGCCUUUCAGAGGGGGACAACAGUUGGAAACGACUGCUAAUACCGCAUGACAUGUACGGGUCGCAUGGUCUGUACAUCAAAGAUUUAUCGCUGAAAGAUGGCCUCGCGUCUGAUUAGAUAGUUGGCGGGGUAACGGCCCACCAAGUCGACGAUCAGUAGCCGGACUGAGAGGUUGAACGGCCACAUUGGGACUGAGAUACGGCCCAG
rnacentral:rRNA from 1 species